GAUGAACGCUGGCGGCGCGCCUAACACAUGCAAGUCGAACGGUUAAAGCACCUUUUAGGUGUGUAUAAAGUGGCGAACGGCUGAGUAACACGUGGGCAACCUGCCCUCCUCUUGGGGAUAGCCUCGGGAAACCGAGGAUAAUACCCGAUACUUCAAUGUGGCCGCAUGACGACAUUGAGAAAGCUUUUGCGGAGAAGGAUGGGCCCGCGGCCUGUUAGCUUGUUGGUGGGGUAGAGGCCUACCAAGGCAAUGAUGGGUAGCUGGGUUGAGAGACCGACCAGCCAGAUUGGGACUGAGACACGGCCCAGACUCCUACGGGAGGCAGCAGUGGGGAAUCUUGCACAAUGGGCGAAAGCCUGAUGCAGCGACGCCGCGUGCGGGACGAAGGCCUUCGGGUUGUAAACCGCUUUCAGCAGGGACGAGGCGAUAAGUGACGGUACCUGCAGAAGAAGCCCCGGCUAACUACGUGC
rnacentral:rRNA from 1 species